rnacentral:rRNA from 1 species
AGAAGGGUACCCUAACAACACUAGAUCCUAUCUGAUCUUGGAAGCUAAGCAGGGUCAGCCGUGAUUAGCAUGUACAUGGGAGACCGCCUGUAAGGCUGUAGGCUCACUUUUG